UACGAAGGGGGCUAGCGUUGCUCGGAAUCACUGGGCGUAAAGGGUGCGUAGGCGGGUCUUUAAGUCAAGGGUGAAAUCCUGGAGCUCAACUCCAGAACUGCGUCUGAUACUGGAUGGCUUGAGUUUGGGAGAGGGAUGCGGAAUUCCAGGUGUAGCGGUGAAAUGCGUAGAUAUCUGGAGGAACACCGGUGGCGAAGGCGGCAUCCUGGACCAACACUGACACUGAGGAGCGAAAGCCAGGGGAGCAAACGGG
rnacentral:rRNA from 1 species